AUUGAACGCUGGCGGCAUGCCUAACACAUGCAAGUCGAACGAGUGGCGGACGGGUGAGUAAUGUCUGGGAAACUGCCCGAUGGAGGGGGAUAACUACUGGAAACGGUAGCUAAUACCGCAUACCAUCGGAUGUGCCCAGAUGGGAUUAGAUAGUAGGUGGGGUAACGGCUCACCGAGCCGACGAGCCCUAGCUGGUCUGAGAGGGUGACCAGCCACACUGGAACUGAGAAACGGUCCAGACUGCUUCGGGAGGCAGCAGUGGUGAAUAUUGCACAAUGGGCGCAAGACUUAUGCAGCCAUGCCGCGUGUAUGCAGAAGGCCUUCGGGUUGUAAAGUACUUUCAGCGAUGAGGCGUUCCUCGCAGAAGAAGCACCGGCUAACUCCGUGCCAGCAGCCGCGGUAAUAC
rnacentral:rRNA from 1 species